UUAACAGUAAGUACAUGUAACAGUCUGACAUAUUUGUUCUCACCAUCCAUAGCAAAAUUGCUUGUGAUGUUAGAGAAAAUUGAAGUUAGUCACUGUGAGAAAAUUAAAGAAAUUCUUGCAAGAGCAGGAGAAGAAGAGGAAGAAAAGUACGUUUUGUUCGACAAAGUGAAAUCAAUCAUGCUUCGUAAUUUACCAAAUCUAAAGUGUUUUUGCUCUGAAACUAAUGCUUUAGAUUGGCCAUCGCUAGAGAAAAUAAGGGUAAUUGAAUGUCCUAGUUUAAGCAUGUUUAUUCCAUCUAAUCUAAACACACCUAAGCUAGGGGGAGUAUACGAUGAAUUACCCUCUCUAUGGAAAGAAGGAACAUCUCAUUGGAUGGGAGAGCUGAAUGCCACCAUAGAGCAAAUCUUCAAGGGAAAGCAAAAGCAGGUGAAUCAUAAGACACAGCAAGAAGAGCAAAUUGAGAUUAUUGAGGAGGAUAUGUGAUGCUGGGCAAGACAUACAGUAGGUUAUAUCAACUACAUGAUGUUCAACCUCAAGUUAGUAAGAGCAUAUGACACUGGGAUAUAUAAAGAAGGAAGCAGUUUCACAAAGCUUAUGAGAAGCACAUCUAAAGCUAUGCUCAUUCCCAACAGGGCCUCAUAUUGUUUUCUUUUUGUGCCUUUUAUUGUUUUCUUUUUGUUAUAUAACUAGCCAGAUCUGUCUUAUGCUAUCUGUAUGUGUAUUCUGAGAGCACCAUUGUGUGAUAACACUCUCGUUUCUGUUCAAUCUUUUAUCCAUAAGACUCCAGAUU